AGUAGGACUCCGGUUCACAUCAGCUCAGUGCGGUGGCAGAGCUCUGAAACGACGAAGUUAGCUCUAGUGAGCCGUAUCAUAAAUAUCGAUAAGCGAGACAGUUCUGGGUGAUAAUGUCCAUAGUUGCAUCAAUUAGUCGGUAGCGGGACAUUCCGGACAGUGACUGGCUGUAGCAAUUUCACAACCUAGUUCAUUAAAGAAACAUGCGACAGAAACUGAAGCGACUGAUAAAAAUGCAACUAUAAUAAUAAAACAUGACAUGAUUCUAGCCCUGACCAAUUUGCGAGUUCCACUAUUCCAUCCUGUCCGAGAAGAGAGAGGACGAAACAAGAGCAGCGAGUAAGCGCACAGAUUUCUGUUGCAUCGAUCGAAGUGGCAAAUUUACUGUCGACGGAGUGGCGGACAAGUUUCACUCGGCACUUGGUCCAGUAGGAGACGAACGGUGAUACACCGUGGACUCACUGACUGACUGACUGCUGCCUGGACAUUAUAAUGGCGAGCUGCAUUGAUCGGAAAUGGGAUUCUGAUGAGUUAAUCAAAGGUCAAUUUAAAUUAAUGACUGCCUGUUUUUGGGUGCGAGGCAUCAAACGAAUCGGGACGAACCAGCGAACUGGAAAAUAAAAAGUUUGCAGUUUUGCAAGGAUACAGCAACAUGCAUUACGUCAUCUACGAUUCAUUUGUACAGGAAAACAUGAGUAAAAAAAGUGGUUCUGCUCCCGUUUGCAUUCAAGUUCUACCGGAUGCCGAUUCUUACCAAGGUAUUUAUAAAUAUUCCAGUUUGCCGCUGAGAUUCAGCUGGAAAUCUAUGUGGCAACAACCAUCCAUCUCGAUUAAACGUGAGAGCUGACUCAAUCUCACGAAGAAUGCUAUCAUUUCCGCCAGUUUUGCGUUGGAAUUUAUUUGUUGAAAACAGUGUUGUAAACGGUCACCAUUUUUGUGACAGGACAGUAUGUGCUCCUUGCCCGAAAGUUACGGCUCAAUAUGUACUGUGAACGUUAUCAAGAAUGUAUUGAUCGUACAGUCACAUCAGAAAUAAAUGUACAGCCGCAAACACGACCUUCAGAAAGCGAUGAAAAUAUGCUAUAUGGAUGCAAACUGCUCUCGGAAGCAGUUUUAACUUGUUGAAAUUUCUAUGAAAAUUUAUACUCAAUGUCAUUUGCGUAAUUGAAACUCGUACUACUGCCUCUUACUUAACUUACU